CUUUUGUUUUUUCCUUUUUUACAAAACUAAAAGACAGCUAAAAUUACUUGGGUACCUAGAUAAUUGGUUUAGAUAAACCCUAAAGCAAACCACUUUCCACUCCUUUCUGCCCUUAGUGGGGGAAGACAGGGGAAGUUAAGCUGCCUGUAAAAUUCUACCUUUGUGUUUUCCAUGGAUUUCACCCUAACAUGUGGAAAGAUGGAAGUAUAGUUCACAUUGAGGCCUCACCCUUUAAUGCUGUCCUAAUGGGCAACGUUUGCCUCUCACUUGGUUCCCAUGUUUGCUUUGGUUCUUUUCAUGUAGUUGCUAUAAUAUCAUAAUUUGGCUGAGCAUGUAUGUCCGAAAGUUAGUUUUGAUUUAGUGAAACCAUUAUACACCUCUUUAAGUGAGUAAUCGCUUUCAGGGUAUUGUUUGUAUAAGCAAAUAAUGCAUAGCUUUCUGGGGAGGGCUGCAUGGCACUAAAAGUAUCUGGAAACUACUUUUUUUCCUGCUCUGAUUUUCUGUACCAAAAGACUAAACAAUGACAAAUCUCUAGAAAAGGCAAUUUCACAAGAAUCCAAAGCCUAAUUCUUAUAUCGAAAGGAACAACAAGGAUGACAACGACAAUAAUAACAACAGCUAUCCUUCCUUCCCACUACACACGAGAAAAAAACCACACCUCUCCAGAGUGCAAAGGAGCAAGAUUCAAAGUCGUUUUCAGAUCACAUAUGUAUCUUUGAAAAAUUGAAGGCUCAGCCCAGCAAAAACAGGGAAAAAUAAUGGCAGAUACAGAAAUAUGGAGCAUGAAAGUCAUACACAAUGAAUACGAGAACCUGUAAAACUGCUUCCCAAGUUACAGGUCUAUAAAGGGCUGCAGUCUAAGAUUUUUCUGAAGGCAACAGAUUAAAUGAAGGAUUUUAAAUCGACUUUAACCUUAGCUGGCAUAAAUUACCAUUUUAAACCCAUUCCUGUUUCAGUAGGAAACUCCUUACAUCCAUGGGAUUUUAUAUAUCUUUCAGCUAAGGACCCAAUUCUGCUAGUCUCAUAUGAUUUCAGUAUAAAUAGAAGCAGAACACCAUGCACAUGAUUCAUUUGUACCAAAAAUUCAUGUAAGUCAGAGUGAUUUUACAGCAGAGAUGAUUUGGUUGACUUUGAGCUAGCUCUACUAAAGAACAUGGUUGUCACAAAGCUGAACACUGAUGUCUUUUUUUCUUUAAACAAAAUAAAACAGCAACAAAAAAUGCACCCACCUGCUUAGUGGAACCCACUGCCCUGAGUUAGGUGCUUCUCCUGUACAGUAGAUGGGGAGCAUUAGAACCAGAAUCAUGUAGUUGCUAUACUUAGAAUCAGAUCUACAAGAAGCUAACAAUGGCAGGAAAUCGUUUCAGAUAGUCAAGAGGGAUUUAGGUACCUCAGUGUCUCCUGGGGAUACAGGGAGGUGCCUACUUCUUUUUGCGAUUAACAAUGUUAAUCCCUCUCCUUGAGUUAGAUGCCUAUUUCCAUCCUUCUCACCCCUUUCACAGUGUUGGUAACAUCUUUCAGAAGUAGGCUUUUAUAGUUUAAGGUGCCACCCUGCUCUGCCUUAUGUUCAGUUUAGGACCUUCUUAUUUGGGCAGGCUCUUAGUAGACAUGUUUAAGGUUUGGCCUGGAGUCCAGGGGAUUGUCUUAUCUGUUCUUAUGACUUGUUUUUAUUGCAGGGUGCCCUGAGCCUUUUUAAUGGAGGGUGGCAUAGAAAUCAAAUAAACAAAUGUAAUAGAAAAGAAAAAAAGCAGUGUGUUUGAGGAUCUACAUUUUGCAUUUUAGUGCCUACAUCAUUUAGUGGCCCCACCCUUUUUCUGUAGCUAAUAUAUUUUCUCUCUUUAAUAAGCGCACACACUUUUUUCUCAUUUCUUCUUCCUUGCAUGUAAAUUUAGUUGUCGGGACCGAGGGCGGUCUAAGGCUAUGGCCAGUAGCCCGGACCGUCAGGUGGGGUUUUUCCACGAUGGAAUAGUUAGGCACGGAAGCGUAUUGGUUGUAUAAAGAAAGCUUUACUUACACUGCCGAUGGUCACAGUGCAGGAAGAAAACUUGCUUGAAUUGCAGUUGCACACAAACACACAGGGGUGAGAUCUCUCUUCGAACCGAACCGAGAUGAGUCGUCGAUGUAUGACUCCACGAGCGCUUCACACGGGGAAACAGGAGUUUAAUACCAAGAAUGAAGUACUGAGAGAUGCUGAGCAUCUGAGACUGUGUCUGCUAUGCCAGUUUCAGCACCUGUUCAGCACUUCGGAACAAACGUGCCAUGCAUUUCCAGUUGCAGGAGAAGCCAUCUGCCCUCUGGAGAAAAAACUGGGUUCUUUUGAUGUGAUUCAAGGCACGCCCUGUUGCAAAGAGAACUUCACAGGAAUCGGAAACAUAAGCACACCGGUCUGAAACAUUACUGUACAAUAGCAAGAAUGUAUCAAGCCUUGAAGAUGAACCUUCUUUUUCCAGGAAAGUAUCAAAGCUUUCAAAGGGGGAAAAAUAAAACAAAAAAAUAUUGAAACACA